rnacentral:rRNA from 1 species
CUAGCUACAGGCUUAACACAUGCAAGUCGAGGGGCAGCAUGGUCUUAUCUUGCUAAGGCCGAUGGCGACCGGCGCACGGGUGAGUAACACGUAUCCAACCUGCCGUCUACUCUUGGACAGCCUUCUGAAAGGAAGAUUAAUACAAGAUGGCAUCAUGAGUCCGCAUGUUCACAUGAUUAAAGGUAUUCCGGUAGACGAUGGGGAUGCGUUCCAUUUGAUAGUAGGCGGGGUAACGGCCCACCUAGUCUUCGAUGGAUAGGGGUUCUGAGAGGACGGUCCCCCACAUUGGAACUGAGACACGGUCCAAACUCCUACGGGAGGCAGCAGUGAGGAAUAUUGGUCAAUGGGCGAGAGCCUGAACCAGCCAAGUAGCGUGAAGGAUGACUGCCCUAUGGGUUGUAAACUUCUUUUAUAAAGGAAUAAAGUCGGGUAUGCAUACCCGUUUGCAUGUACUUUAUGAAUAAGGAUCGGCUAACUCCGUGCCAGCAGCCGCGGUAAUACGGAGGAUCCGAGCGUUAUCCGGAUUUAUUGGGUUUAAAGGGAGCGUAGAUGGAUGUUUAAGUCAGUUGUGAAAGUUUGCGGCUCAACCGUAAAAUUGCAGUUGAUACUGGAUAUCUUGAGUGCAGUUGAGGCAGGCGGAAUUCGUGGUGUAGCGGUGAAAUGCUUAGAUAUCACGAAGAACUCCGAUUGCGAAGGCAGCCUGCUAAGCUGCAACUGACAUUGAGGCUCGAAAGUGUGGGUAUCAAACAGGAUUAGAUACCCUGGUAGUCCACACGGUAAACGAUGAAUACUCGCUGUUUGCGAUAUACAGCAAGCGGCCAAGCGAAAGCGUUAAGUAUUCCACCUGGGGAGUACGCCGGCAACGGUGAAACUCAAAGGAAUUGACGGGGGCCCGCACAAGCGGAGGAACAUGUGGUUUAAUUCGAUGAUACGCGAGGAACCUUACCCGGGCUUAAAUUGCAGAUGAAUUACGGUGAAAGCCGUAAGCCGCAAGGCAUCUGUGAAGGUGCUGCAUGGUUGUCGUCAGCUCGUGCCGUGAGGUGUCGGCUUAAGUGCCAUAACGAGCGCAACCCUUGUUGUCAGUUACUAACAGGUUCCGCUGAGGACUCUGACAAGACUGCCAUCGUAAGAUGUGAGGAAGGUGGGGAUGACGUCAAAUCAGCACGGCCCUUACGUCCGGGGCUACACACGUGUUACAAUGGGGGGUACAGAGGGCCGCUACCACGCGAGUGGAUGCCAAUCCCAAAAACCUCUCUCAGUUCGGACUGGAGUCUGCAACCCGACUCCACGAAGCUGGAUUCGCUAGUAAUCGCGCAUCAGCCACGGCGCGGUGAAUACGUUCCCGGGCCUUGUACA